CACAAUUCAAGUCACCAUAUUUGUCAAGCACGGGUGGGGUGUCAUGCAAAGGAGUACAAGCAAAAUCAUUUUUCAAAGAUAUGUCAAGCACAUGAUUAACCCUAUGAGCCAAGCAAACAUUAGAAUCUUUACAACAACAUAGGCUCACGGGUUCACUCCUUUAUCCUUGACCAUCAUCUUCAAAUUCUUCACUCACUUGAGAUUCAUUAAUCACAUCACACAUAUUCUCAAGUGGUGGGCAAGUUUUACACACAAGUUAAUCAACACAAUUUUCAC
rnacentral:lncRNA from 1 species